ACAGAAGAGAUUAUGUUCGAGUGUGUAUAUGUGUUCAUGAAUGACAUAAUUCUAACUCAAAUUCCACGUCAAAAUGGUUAUUGUAUCCAGAAGUAAUUUUUCAGGUAACCUGGUAACAAGUUUAAAGGCAAGAGCAAAUGAAGGUUCUGAGUCAUAGAAAAAGAAAUCUGAGCAAGGAAGAGUGAGGCAGGACAGCUCAUGCAAAUAAAGGAAGAUCUCAUCCUUAAGUUUGGUUUCAACAUAAUCUCAAUGAAUCUACAAAAACUUAUGUAACCUGAGAUUUCUCAUGCCUGGAGCCUGUGGAUCCUUAGUUCUGUGGCACCUGGAGAAAAUCCCAAAGAUCUAAUAUUAUUUUGGUCAUUCCCCACAGUCAUCUCUUUACCAUCAUGUGACUGCAUAAAAUGUGAAUGCAGAAGAGUUUCCUGGAUUUGUCA
rnacentral:lncRNA from 1 species